rnacentral:rRNA from 1 species
GACGACGCUGGCGGCGUGGAUUAGGCAUGCAAGUCGAACGGUACUCAUCCUUCGGGGGUGAGAGAGUGGCGAACUGGUGAGUAACACGUAGGUUAUCUACCCUCAAGACGGGGACAACCCAGGGAAACUUGGGCUAAUACCGGAUGUGAGCAACUUUUAGUGUUUGAAAGGUGGCGUAAGCUGUCGCUUGGGGAUGAGCCUGCGUCCUAUUAGUUAGUUGGUGAGGUAACGGCUCACCUAGGCAAUGAUAGGUAGGCGGCCUUAACGGGUGGUCGCCCACACUGGGAUUGAGAUACGGCCCAGACUCCUACGGGAGGCAGCAGUCGAGAAUAGUCUACAAUGGUCGGAAGACUGAUAGUGCGACGCCGCGUGAACGAUGAAUCCCUUCGGGGUGUAAAGUUCUUUUAUAUGUGAGCAGUGCUUCUUAUAUUAACAGUAUGGGGAGAGAGAUAUUAGCAUAUGAAUAAGCAACGGCUAACUCCGUG